UGUCUAUUAAUUGUAGACCUGUAUGAAAGGNAAAAUGAGGGCCUAACUGUCUCUUAUAAUCAAUCAAUUAAACUGAUCUCCCAGUACAAAAGCUGGGAUACAACCAUAAGACCAGAAGACCCUGUGAAGCUUAAACUAAACUAUUAAUCCAAAUAAUAACUACUUUCGGUUGGGGCGACCUUGGAAAGAAAAAGAACUUCCAACUAAAACAAAACCACAACAGGCCAACAAGCCAACAACGACCCAGCAACGCUGAUUAACGAAACAAGUUACUCCAGGGAUAACAGCGCCAUCUUCUUCAAGAGCCCAUAUCAAAAAGAAGGUUUACGACCUCGAUGUUGGAUCAGGACAUCCUAAUGGUGCAGAAGCUAUUAAGGGUUCGUUUGNNCAACGAUUAACAGU
rnacentral:rRNA from 1 species